UACGCAGGGUGCGAGCGUUGUCCGGAAUUACUGGGCGUAAAGAGCUCGUAGGUGGUUUGUCGCGUCGUCUGUGAAAUUCCGGGGCUCAACCCCGGACUUGCAGUGGGUACGGGCAGACUAGAGUGUGGUAGGGGAGACUGGAAUUCCUGGUGUAGCGGUGAAAUGCGCAGAUAUCAGGAGGAACACCGAUGGCGAAGGCAGGUCUCUGGGCCACUACUGACGCUGAGAAGCGAAAGCAUGGGGAGCGAACAGGAUUAGAUA
rnacentral:rRNA from 1 species